AAUAAAAUAAAAAAAGAAGUGGACACACCUGGAGUCGAACCCGUGACCUGGAACUGGCGCUAUAUAGGCUGACUUAGCAUCUUAGGUUGGAAUUUUGAAACCAUGGUGCAGGAUAAGCGUUGGGCAAAGGGAAGAUGAUAAAAGGGCCCAUUGAAAAACGUUUGGGUUUGAACCCAAUCCUCAAACGCAAAGGUCCAAGAAGAAAACAAAAGAAAUGGAGACACACGGAAUGCAUUCGUACACCUCACACGCACACAGGCUUGUGAAAAACUUUGGAUUCCUUUAUCCCAUGUCUGCACUUGGAACCUCGAGCCGAGAGCCAAACGGCUCUCUUCUUUCAUCGAUCUCAGAGCUCGUCAUUUCAAAAGAGUCUCCUCUUUCUCAUUUCUAAUUAUAUUGAGGAAUCCUAAGCCUUUUGCUCUAUAGAAACUGAGAGGUUCACAAAUAACAUGGAUCGAAAACCAAAGCUAACAAUUCAUACUCGCAUGUGACUGUGCUAUGCCUGCAUGUUGAGGAUCUGCUGGUUGCAUGGAUGAUGACAGUCGGAGGUAAAAUGUGUGUAGGAUGCUCACGGAUCUGUCGGCUAUAGGGAGAAAAAUAAAAGAAUCCUCUCGGACCGCACAGAUCCGAUCAUGCAAAAGAUAGCUUGGAUCUAGUUGAUAUCCGAGAGAAAAGAACACCCAAGCUGCAGAGUCAGUGGUUCAAAAUGGCAAAAUUAGCAGGCAAACUCCUGGAACUGCAACAGAACACUGGAGGUCCACAAAAGCAGCUCAUUGGCGUCUAAGGCUUGCAGUGAAGAAUGGCCGCAUAGCAAAACGGAGAUACAUAAGGUGACCCACUGGACAUCUCAAAAACACCCCUGGUCUGAGGUAUAUCAACUGCCCAUUGUUGAGAUUAUGUUGCCAUGUUCUCAAACAAUUGAUACGCUUACAGUGCAUUUUUUUUUCUGAAAACGUUCCUCCACAAUUAGCAUUAACAAGAGUCUUAGUAGUCAAAUUCAGCCCUCUGUAAAAUAAAUUCAUUUGAGUGUCACCAUUAAUGCCUGAAUGUGGACAUUUCCUGAGCAAAUCCUUGUAACGUUCCCAUGCUUCAUGAAUUGCUUCAUUAGGUUUCUGAGCAAAUGUUAAAAUUUGAG